UGGAAAAGUCUCGUCACACACACACACAUACGCCACCCCCGGCCAGGGAGGCCUCCGGACUGGGGACCGUGCCCCGUGUCACUUCUCACCCUUUACACUUGAGCCAAUCACAGUCCUCCGAGUUCCCAGGGGAUGCUGAGGCCGUUGUGAACGUCAGAUCGGUUCAGGCUUGUGAAGUAACCUGGCAAUCUGCGAGGCAGAAGAUCCUAUCUUUGAGCACAGUCGCAUUCUGACAUGCUGUAAGUCAGGACUUCAACAGAUGAAUACAGCUCAGCCCGUAACUGCGCUUCACUGCCUCUAAGAACCUAGAACAGACCCUGAACUCUACCUUCCCACCCCUAUGCCUUCUGUAGACUCACAUACGAUGGCCAAGUGCUGUGCUUCACAGCUGGAAGAGCUUAAAACCUAGUAAAGAAAACACCCUCUCAAUUGAGUGUAUAUGUUCCUCUAAAAGACAACAUCCAGUGUGUGAAAUGAAUACUGGGAAUCUGUCAGGAAUCUGGGACCUCCUACCCAGCAAACAUUUCAGAAUGAGCUUUUUGUGAAUGACUACCUAGCUGUGACCUCUACCUGGCACCUGUGUCAUCUCCAGAAGUCUCCAGAAGGAAGGACUGUAUCAAAUAAAUACACUAAAGACUCUUCAUUCCUCCUGCUAUCCGUGAGAGCUCCACACUUACCCGAGUCAUGAGAAUGCCUGAUCUCCAGCAAAAUAGUAAUUGUCCUAAAUUUGGGGCCUCAUCCCCAGUCUUCCGAUUCUGUCCUAGUUCAUAUAUUUUGCCUUGUAGCUUUCUUUGUCUAACAAGCCAGAUCAGACUUUUCCCCAAGCCCUGGAUCCAAAUGGCUAUUAGAUCACCAUAGUUUCAAAUUCACUAUAUCCAUCAUUGAACCCUUCCCCUCAACCAUGUCUCCACCUGCUGCAUUCUCCAUCUGAGUGGAUGGCCCAAACACCACUCUAGUUAUGCCAGCCAGGAAUCUGGGAGCCAUCUAGAAUGUGACCUACUUUAAUCUACCUGCUACUCUGUCCUUAAUGUUCCUCAGAGGCCUCCCCUCUUCAUUCCCACCACCAUUACCUCAGCCAAGGCCCUUUGAACUAUUUAUCCUCUGGUGUUUGAUACCAGACUCCUAACUAGACCCUCUGUUCCAGUGUGGCUUCUUGGCCAGCAUCCUCUACACUGCUUCUCCAAGCAUCUUUCAAAAACAAACCUGGUUAUCCUCUGUCCUUCUAAAACCUCUCAGGAGAAAAUUCAAGCUUCUUUGCUCACCUCCCUCCAGAGGCUCACUUUUGAUCAUUUCCCCAUCCAUAUUCUUCCCUAUAGUCAGGGACCACUCAAGAGCCUCCAUACUUUCUGAACACAAAUACUCAUAACUUUCUUGGUCUAGAGAGAAGGAGUCAUCCAUCCCUUUCUGAAUUAGGGACCCCCUUGCUUCUCUCAAAGCACUCCAUGUGGGUCUCAGGCAUAGCUGUUAGAACACUGGGGCAAGAUUACUAGGUCACUUUUCUGUGUCCUCCAUGAAGCCAUGAGCUCCUGAAGGACGAAAACGUCAUCCAUUCUUCAUGUGUUUCAAGUCUAGGUUGGAGUUGAUGCUUAGGGAAAAAAGUUUGCUUUAAGGAAUGAAUUAAUUCUUAGGAAUUCAGAGGAUCUGGUCAAACCCAACAUUUGCCUACAAGUACCUUACUUGGAGCAAUCUUCAGUUUUCUGACAACACUUGCUGAACACUUUAAAAAAAAAAGAGUUAUGCAUUUAUUGAUGAGAGACACACAGAGAGAGGAAGAGACAUAGGCAGAGGGAAAUGCAGGUUCCCUGUAGGGAGCCCAGUGAAGGACUGGAUCCCCAGGAUCAUGCCCCAAGCCAAAGGGAGAUGCUCAACCACUGAGCCACUCAGGUGUCCACACUUGCUGAACACUCUUAAGUCACCCCCUGUUUGAAUUAUAGAUUCAUCCUUUAGAAUCUCUAACUUCUAAGCUUUCUAAAUACCCAGAGUUCUCUAGAGUUUUUCAAACUGCCAGUCAGGAGAUCAGUUUUUGUGGUUAAAGAGGAGUAUUUUUGUUUUAUGAAAUCAAAUCAGAGUUAAAACAGUCAACUACAUCCUACAUAGUAAAUAUUGUUUUCAUGAAACUUUUGUUUUCGUUGACUGUAUUUGCAAGGGGUAUGUGCAUGUGUGUAUGUGUACAGGGCUGUUGUAUCAUCACAUUUAUUCCUCCCUUUGGGUCAUGGUCAAAAACUGGCACAACAGUAUCUUAGGCAGUGCUGCAGCUGUGCUCACCAGAGGACACAUUUAUGGAGUCGUUAGAGAGAGUGGUGUUAAGCAGAGAACAUUUUCUGGAAAGUUAUUCUGAACCA